CUCAGGAUGAACGCUGGCGGCGUGCUUAACACAUGCAAGUCGAACGAUGAUGCCAGCUUGCUGGCGGAUUAGUGGCGAACGGGUGAGUAACACGUGAGUAACCUGCCCUUAACUCUGGGAUAAGCCUGGGAAACUGGGUCUAAUACCGGAUAUGACUCCUCAUCGCAUGGUGGGGGGUGGAAAGCUUUUUUGUGGUUUUGGAUGGACUCGCGGCCUAUCAGCUUGUUGGUGAGGUAAUGGCUCACCAAGGCGACGACGGGUAGCCGGCCUGAGAGGGUGACCGGCCACACUGGGACUGAGACACGGCCCAGACUCCUACGGGAGGCAGCAGUGGGGAAUAUUGCACAAUGGGCGAAAGCCUGAUGCAGCGACGCCGCGUGAGGGAUGACGGCCUUCGGGUUGUAAACCUCUUUCAGUAGGGAAGAAGCGAAAGUGACGGUACCUGCAGAAGAAGCGCCGGCUAACUACGUGCCAGCAGCCGCGGUAAUACGUAGGGCGCAAGCGUUAUCCGGAAUUAUUGGGCGUAAAGAGCUCGUAGGCGGUUUGUCGCGUCUGCCGUGAAAGUCCGGGGCUCAACUCCGGAUCUGCGGUGGGUACGGGCAGACUAGAGUGAUGUAGGGGAGACUGGAAUUCCUGGUGUAGCGGUGAAAUGCGCAGAUAUCAGGAGGAACACCGAUGGCGAAGGCAGGUCUCUGGGCAUUAACUGACGCUGAGGAGCGAAAGCAUGGGGAGCGAACAGGAUUA
rnacentral:rRNA from 1 species